UUGGUUCUGGAAGUCUCUCUUCAUCCUUGGUUUCUAUCUUUGUCCCUUUUUGUUCUUUCACCCUUUUUUGUUAGAAUCUUUGGUCUGUUGGACUUAUUGUUGUGAUCUACAAAGGACAUCUUGGUCAGAACGUGUAUUAUUUUCCUCCAUUGCUUUUUUCACCUUCUGAAAUGGAUUAAAGUCCUUGGCUGCCCUAUACCAUUCUCCUAAAUUGGUGUGCAAUGACCAUGAGCAUGUUGCGCAGGCGGAGUGAGUUCUUUGGACUCCUGGACACUGUGUGCUCGCCCAAAACAGACACGAUGAAAACGGAUGUGCUGAGAAGGGCCUCGGCGCCGAACCCGGGGAUGGGUGCCGGGACGGGGUUGAGCCAUGAGACCCAGCAGCUGACCCCGUCUGAGGAGUAUCUGCAGACCCUACUGCAGAUGAAGAUUAACAGCUCUGAUCAGUUUGAUAACUUGGAGAAGCAUACACAGUCGGGCAUCGAGUUUGUGGAGAGGUACACCAAAUUCGUCAAAGAGCGAUCGGAGAUUGAAAUCAACUAUGCAAAGCAGAUUAAGAAUCUAUCAAAGAAGUAUCAACCCAAGAAGAACUCAAAAGAGGAGGAGGAGAACAAGUACACGUCAUGCCGGGCCUUCCUGUCGACACUGAAUGAGCUGAACGACUACGCAGGUCAGCACGAAGUCAUCGCUGAGAACCUGACCUCUCAGAUCAUCACAGAACUCUUGCGGUACCUCACGGAACUCAAGGCUGAGAGGAAAUCGCAUUUCCAUGAUGGACGUAAAGCACAGCAACACAUUGAAUGCUCGUGGAAACAGCUGGAGUCGAGUAAACGGCGGUUCGAGAGGGACUGUAAAGAGGCGGACAGGGCGCAGCAGUACUUUGAGAGAAUGGACGCCGACAUCAAUGUGACGAAGGCAGACGUGGAGAAGGCGCGGCAGCAGGCUCAGAUGAGACACCAGAUGGCUGCUGACAGUAAGAGUGAAUACUCCAACUUCCUGACCAAGUUCAACCAGGAACAGAACGAGCAUUACUACACUCUCAUCCCCAAUAUAUUCCAGAAACUCCAGGAGAUGGAGGAGAGGCGGAUCGAGAGGGUGGGUGUGUCCAUGAAGACGUACGCGGAGGUGGACCGCGAGGUGCUGCCUAUCGUAGGGAAAUGUCUAGACGGAAUGACUAAGGCUGCCGAGUCCAUUGAGCCUAAGACUGACUCGAAGCAGGUGGUGGAGUCGUAUAAGUCUGGGUUCGAGCCCCCAGGGGACGUAGAAUUUGAGGACUAUGGGCCAGGCCAGUCCAUGAAGAGGACGGUCUCCGAAACCAGCCUGUCCAACUCACGAGGAGAGGCCAAGGAACGACCCAGCGGGGGCAAGAGCAAGGGCAAACUGUGGCCUUUCAUUAAGAACAAGAACAAGCUUAUGUCCCUGUUAACGUCCCCGCACCAGCCCCCCUGCCCCCCCAGCCUCCAGCCCCCCCUCACCCUCUGCUGUUCCCAACGACCCCCAGUCUCCCAAGCAGAACAAGGAGCCCCUCUCCAAUCGCUUCAAUGAGUUCAUGGCCUCCAAACCCAAAAUGACUUGCCUCCGGAGCCUGAGGCGAGGGCUUUCUCUCAAGCUGGGCUCUGGACCAGAGGACUUCAGCCACCUGCCCCCAGAGCAGAGAAGAAAGAAGCUUCAGGCCAAGAUAGACGACUUAAACAAGGACAUCCAGAAAGAGAUGGACCAGAAAGAUGCCCUAACUAAGAUGAAGGGGGUGUAUGAGAAGAACCCUCAGAUGGGUGACCCUGCCAGUGUGGACCCCCGCCUAGUAGAGUUGGCAAUGAACAUUGAGAAACUGCAGUCCGAGGUGCAGAAAUUCGAGGGAUGGCUAGCUGAGGUGGAGGGGAGGUUACCAUCGAAGAGCGAUCCUCCCAGGAGACAGAGUGGUCUGUACGAGACACAGAACAGCAACAGCAGCACGGUUGCCAACAACUGUGCACAGGACAGAGAGAGCCCGGAUGGCAGUUACACAGAGGAGCAGAGUUCAGAGACUCAGGUCAAGGUGGCCAUAGCCAACACUCCAGAGUUUGAUGAUGAGUUUGACGACGGGGAUGAGGAGACGCUGCCCACUAUCGGCACCUGUAAAGCCAUCUACCAAUUUGAAGGUCAUAAUGAGGGGACUAUAUCAGUGACAGAGGGAGAGCUGUUGUAUGUGAUAGAGGAGGAUAAAGGUGAUGGCUGGACACGCGUCCGCAGAAACGAAGAGGAGGAAGGCUACGUGCCCACGUCUUAUGUCGAGGUCCUUUUGGAAACAAACGCCAAAGAUUCCUAAAAGUGUGAGAGGCUGGCUCAGAAAUGGCAGGGCAAGCAGCCUCGGAGACAGAGCAACCACAUUCACGUUCCUUUUAUUGUCAUAGAGUCAGAAAGAGAGAGAGACAUAACCGAGACAAAAACGGGAGAUCGAUAAUGAUGCAUCUCAAAUUCCAACCCGAUACAUACGUAGAGUUCUCUUCUUUUGCAACAGUUUCUGACCAGAAGCAACAAUAAUAAGCAUCACAAUUUUGCACCCGUAAAUCUUUUAAUAGUCCAUUACACAUUUAUAAUUUUGCUUCCGUUGUCGCUGCAAAGCUUCGCUUCUCGAUGUACUAACUCAGCUUCCGCAACCCGGCGUUAUCAUGGCGGCUGUUAGCUCUCUCGCCUCAAAUCCCAACCCGCUCCCAUGCCACCCCUCCCCAAACCCCUUCCUCAAGCACGGCAGGGUGUGGUCAGAGACAAGACCAGCUCCCCCUCAUGGAAGGGGGGAAGAAGCAACACAAUCUCCCCCCACAAACCCGCUUGCUUACACCCCACCCAUACCAUCUCACCUGACCAGACCAUCAGACAGGAAGGCUGGAGAGGAAGCCAAACCGUGUCCCUCCAGUCCACCCUUGCAUUCAAACCAAUCAGGUGGAUACAGUUGCCGUAUCUCUCUCUCUCCCUCAUUGACUCAGAGCCAUCAUCAUAGAAGGAACCGUCCAGAUUCAGCAUCACUUGGAGAGCCGUGGAGUACCCAUGGAAACAACGCAGUCAUUCCACUCUCUCAGACCGCAGCUCCAUAUUUUGCAGGUUUCAAAUGGACUAAAACAUGGACCGAUUGGUCAUCUUACUGUAUGUGUGUAUGAAAAAGCUUCAUUUAUGGUGUUUGUCAGUAUCAUGUGCAUCCUCCAUACAUGACUGGGGAGGGGACAGGACUAGGAGCUCCAGGACCGAGAGGGGUUGGGGUGGGAAAGGGGACAGGUUCACUUUACUUCAUCUCACCUGCACUCUCUCCCUACCAUACUAUCAUGUGUUGUUACUGGCAUCCACUCAAAGUGGUGGAAAAAGUAUCCAAUUGUAAUACUUGAGUAAAAGUAAAGAUACCUUAAUAGAAAAUUACUAGAUUAAAAGUUAAAGUCACCCAGUAAAAUAUUACUUGAGUAAAAGUAUAUAAGCAUUUGGUUUUAAAUAUACUUAAGUAUCUAAAGUAAAUGUCAUUGCUAAAAUAUACUUACGUAUCAAAAUUAAAAGUACAAAGGAUUUCACAUUCCUUAUAUUAAGCAAACUAGGAGGCACUAUUUUCUUGUUUUUUAAAUUAACAGAUAGCCAGGGGCACACUCCAACACUCAGGCAGCACUCAAACAAAUAUCAAACGAAACAUUCUUGUUUAAUGAGUCCACCAGAUCAGAAGCAGUAAGGAUGACCAGGGAUGGUCUCUUGAUAAGUGAGUGAAUUGCAACAUUUUUACUGUCCUGCUAAGUAUUCAAAAUGUAACGAGUACUUUUGGGUGUCAGGUAAAAUGUAUGGAGUAAAAAGUACACUAUUUUCUUUAGGAGUGUAGUGAAGUACAAUUUGUCCCCAAAAAAUGAAUAGUAAUCCCAAAAAAUGACUUAAGUAGUACUUAAUAAAAAUAUUUUUAAUUUGAAGUACUAUACACCACUGAUCUCGUCUGCUCCUCUCUCUGGCCACACCCCUCCCCUCCUCAAACCCCUCCACCGCAGGUGGCAGAUGCUGGUCAUUGGCUGCGUUGAUGGCCAUGUCACAGCUUAGGAUGGGGCUCCUCUCGGGCAGUGCGUGCAGUAUGCAUGCAUGCCCUGUCUCCUCUUUGACUCGCCACCCUACAGCUCGGCUCCGGGGGGAGGGGGGGGGUUGCCUAUGCCGCUUUUUAUUUCAGUUAACUCACAUUGCCUGUUACACUUCUUAACCUGUUUGUCACCUUUUGGGUUCUGUGCCUGGGGAUCCUCUACUAGCGCUUCCGUAUUUUGUUUUGUUGUUGUUUGACUGUUCCUCGUCUCUGAAAGCAUGUUCACCUACCUGUGUUUUUUUUAACAGUGAGUGUGUGCUCUCCCUCACAGUAACCCCCUCCUGCUCAAAAUCUCAGCUAAGAAAGUUUUGGAUUCCCGAAACUUCUGUUUCUGAAUUAUUUUAUGCAUACAGUACAUGGUUAUAAAAUGUCAUUUGUCAAUUUGUUAUACUGUAUGUAAUGUUGUUUGCUGACAUUGUACAUGUUUGAGAAGUGUGUCGAAGACAAGUGGUCGUUAGCUUCCACUAGCCUCAUCCUGUGGAUACAUACUGUGCUGUGUAACGUCUCCACUGUAUAUCCUACCCAACAGACAGAAUGUCCCCGGAAGAAAACUUGAGGAUUAGUGAAAUGUCUCAUGUAAUUUGCAUGGUCCACUUACUACUGUAUAUGGAAGUAUUGUAAUACUGUGAUCCACACACACACUUUCUUUCCCACAAGGUUGUGUGCGACUGAAUAUGAGACGAGACAGACUUCAUUUUGGGCCUUAACUAGUUUAAUCCAUAGACUUAUAUAGACAUCACAUCAUUGUAUCUGUCCCAUUAUGGCAUCUGUGAGGGCAUGGACAGCCCAUUGAGGCCAUCUCCAUUUUGAAGUAGUCAAUUUUCUUCUACCAUGAGUUGGCAAACAAACUGAAAGGGUGCAUAUUGCCAGCUGGAGUGUGUAUGAACAGGUUUAAAGCCAAGGUUGGCAAUUUACUGCCACCUGCAGUUCAGGAAUGUUUGCUCAUGCGUAUACUUCAUUGGCUGAUCCCUCCUGGUGACCUGGAUGGAAUUAUGUGAUCCUUCCUUAACCCAUAGGAAGUCCCACCCAGUUGACUACUUCAAAAUGGUAAAAGUCCUCAAUGGCACUGCCCAUGAUAAAAUGGGCUUUUAGGCACAAAAGUCCUCCAUCUCUGUCUAUGGAUUUAUCCUACCACUUAGUGUAAAGACAGAUGUCAUUCUAUUAUCUGUGGUAUGUUGAAUAGGUCAAGACAUCUCUUGUUUUAUUUUUUAUAAAGGUUUGGGGGGGGGGUUAUUUUGUACGUGACAGUCAAGGUAGAUUACCCAUAACAUCUACAGAGAUGAUGAUGUCCACAGUUUCCCUCUCUCAAAGGCACAUACAUUUUUUAUUUUGUUCAUUUGAUUUAUCAUUAUUUUUUACCAAUUUUGGGUCGAUGAGAUUGUAGCUUUUUAUUGUGUAGCUAGUUGUUUCUUUAGCUGGAAAACUGUUGCACCUGAACUACAAACCACCUAUAAUGAUGAAACCAGUUGUUUGAUCUGCCUGAAGUCACUGCAGACGAAGUAAUGAAUAACAAAUAUUUGUUUUGUCUAAUGAAGCCGUUAGUGAUGGCACCCUAUUCCCUAUUUCGUGCACUACUUUGACCAGGCUCAAGAGUGUCUUGAAACUUUUCUUUAUUACAAUAUUACUACUCAAGCAACAUUUCAAAGGGCAGCAACUGAAAUUGUAUCAAUGCAAACCGUGUAUAUUAUCAUUAGAACAACAAACGAACAGUGAUCCAUCAUCAUUUGGAGUCCCCGUUACUUGUCAUAAUAUAAAAGCAGCGCAAAUCUAUAAGUUAUUUGGCCGAGAAUCAGGUCAGGUCUCCUUUUGCUAUUCCCAUCCGUCCAUCUCUUAUUUUGAUUAUUGUGGAUGUUGAUUUGGCAGUUGUUUUGUUUGUGAGAAGUGAAAAGUGAAAAGGCAAAACUGAUUCCCAUGCAGACCGUCAGAAGGUGCAUAUCUGUAGUGCGCCGACAGACAGAUAGAGCCACUCAGAAGCGAGCCAGUAUAGAGGGGAAUCUGCUCAUCUCCUCUCCUGCUAAUACUGGACUCGGAUCAUCCUAGACCUUCAGCCUGGCCCCAGUGCACCUGUACAGAAGAAAUGGCUUGUUGGAAUUAGAGAGAAUAUAUAUAUAAAUAUAUAAAUAAAUAUUGAUUCAACUAAGACAAAAAAAAUGAAAUAAACAGUCUAUUUUUAAGGUUUUAACGAUUAAAAGGACCUACCGUUACUUUUUUUUCUCUCUCGCUUUGCUAAGACUUUGUUUUAUUGUUUUUGUUUUGUAAAGUCUGCCAAAUGGUGUUUCGCACUUUUCUGUUGUUUGUGUUCCAUUUGGUAUAUGCUUGCAUUUCAGAGCACUGAAUACUUUGUAUUGUGUUAACUGUGCCAAUUAAAUACAUGUUGAAAAUAA